UACGUAGGGUCCGAGCGUUAUCCGGAAUUAUUGGGCGUAAAGCGUCCGCAGGUGGCGAUUCAAGUCUGCGGUCAAAGACUGGGGCUUAACCCUGGAAAGGCCGUGGAAACUGAAUAGCUAGAGUGCAGUAGGGGUAGAGGGAAUUCCCGGUGUAGCGGUGAAAUGCGUAGAGCUCGGGAAGAACAUCGGUGGCGAAAGCGCUCUGCUGGACUGCAACUGACACUCAGGGACGAAAGCUAGGGGAGCGAACAGG
rnacentral:rRNA from 1 species